rnacentral:rRNA from 1 species
CUAUGGGCCCUGGGGU